rnacentral:antisense_RNA from 2 species
AUAGAGCAACAGCUUCUAUGCGGUUUCUUGUUAGCCCCGUUAAUCUUCUUCUCAGUCGCCAAACUUGCUGAAGAUUAUCGGGGUUUUCACUU